CUCCACACUUGGGGCUUCAUGGGUUCCCUCGUGUAAUGCUCCUGAGAGGUAGGUCAGGAGAUGGACUAGGAGUAUCUUGUCCAAGGUCACACAGCUGAGAAGGGUUAAGGUUGGACUUGAAACAGAAGAUACUGAAGCCUGGGCUUUCAGUCGCUCUGCUGUUGGGGCGCAAAGGUGCUCGUCCCGGGACCAGAGAUGAGGCAGAGGGAACAGACCAGAGCAAGGAGGGGACCGUGGCCAAGUCUCAUGCCUGAGUCCGGGGGUGAGGCAGGGAAAGAGCAUGGCCGCCACCCCGCUUACCACGCUUGGCCGCGAAUCUUCGACGAAGAUCUUUAAACUUCAUGGUGUGAAGUGGGAAGGGACCGAAGGGAAUGCCCACUCCCCCGGCCCCGCUGCAGGGGCGAGAGGGAAGUGUGAUUUCAGGCAGCGCAGGGCCCAUCUGAAAAGCUCGACUAGAACAGAGGAUUCACUUUCUGUCAACCUUUCAUUUCUUGAGCGCCGGCUGGGUAAAAGAUCGUCUAGAAGAAUUCCUUGACCCUCCUGGCUGCCCAGAAAAUCACCCAUCUGAA